rnacentral:rRNA from 1 species
UACGGGGGGGGCAAGCGUUGCUCGGAAUUACUGGGCGUAAAGCGCACGUAGGCGGAUUGUUAAGUCGGGGGUGAAAUCCUGGAGCUCAACUCCAGAACUGCCUUCGAUACUGGCGAUCUCGAGUUCGGGAGAGGUGAGUGGAACUGCGAGUGUAGAGGUGAAAUUCGUAGAUAUUCGCAAGAACACCAGUGGCGAAGGCGGCUCACUGGCCCGAUACUGACGCUGAGGUGCGAAAGCGUGGGGAGCAAACAGG